GCCCUCGAAAUGAUUAUAAGAAAGAGAAAUGUACUCGAGUGACUUCAUAUUGGAGAAGAGAGAUGAAGGAAUAGUUCCAUGGAAAUCAUUUCUGGAUAGGUCAAGCAAACGUAGGGAUGUCAAAUUGUUGAGACACAUAGGAAGACUACCCUCAAAUCCAUUAUAACUAAGAUCCAACUCUUCAAGGUUGAGUUUGCACAAGCCUGCGAAAGUGAAACAUGUAAUUUAUAAUUACAAUUAAAAGUAGUGGCAACAACUAAGGGAAAAAUAUAUUUUGGAUUAUCUUGGUUGAUAAAUGUCACCACAAUUCCUAAGGUAACUUGUUGAUAAUUUUAAAUAUUUUUGUACUUAUAUUUUUAUUUUUAUUAAUAAUAAAUAUGUUUACCCUCCCAAUCUUUUUAUUUCUUGUUUUAGAAAAUAAAAUUCCCUAGCAUUUUUAAGAAGCCAAACAUGUACCUGUUAAGAAGAUAAAAUCUUUACUAGGAUUAGAUUUUAUGAAAAUAUUGGAUGAAAGUUCAAGAAAAGAAUUUUGAUGGGAUGAAAAAUGAUUAAAACUCGUGAAAAUAUGAAAAAUUUUGUAAGAAAUUAUAUAAAAAUAAUAAUAUAUGAAUUGGAAUUGUGUUUUAUUAAUAAUAAAUGUAAUCGUUAAUUUUUGUUAUGUAAAUACUAAAGCUAAGUAUAUGGUAAUCCUAGUAAAGAAAAAUCAAAGAUAAGGUCAGAAUAACUUAUAGUAUCGGGAUUGUCAUCCUCUGUGACCAAUACUAAUAUGUUUAGCUAUUAAAUUAGAAAAAUUAAAUAUUGGAUGAAACUAAAUUAAACCCUAAUCUAAAUAAAUAGAAAUAAAAAUUCGAAUGACAUUUUUUUAGAAUAUCUAAUAAAAGCUAAAUAAUGCAAAAGAAAAUAUUCAAGAAGAACACAAGUUUGAUUUCAAAUUCAUCAAAAGAAAGUGGAAUUUUUUAUUUAUUUUGAUGGUUGAAGAGUCAAUCCAAAAUCAAAUGAGAUCUUAAGAUUAGUUUAAAUUUGAAACCCUAAUUUGACGAAAAAGCCUAGAUCACAAAAGUAUUUUAAAUUAACCAUAAUCCUUGUUUCUCAUUUCGACAAUAAAUCCUAGAUUCAUCAAUGAAACUCAUCUCAAUCUCAUGUACCAUUAAUCAAAAUAAGUUGUUCGAUGAUUAAAAGGCAAUAUAGUAUUAUUAGAAUCAAAGUAAGCAUUGAUUGUCCUUAAAUUGAGAGAAACUAGUUAGAGAAAUAAUCAAUCAUAAUUUAAAUACAAAAAGAAAGAUUUUAGGUAUGAAUGUUACCACUCUUCUUUUCUUGAGAUUAAAAAUUUUGAUUUCAUAAAGGUGAAAUCACAAUUUUGAUUUGGGCAACGAUGAAAGUCAACAUCAAGAACUUCAUCUUUGCCAAAAUUGAUUUCUUAAGCAGAAUUCAGAAUUUUAGAUUAUAACAUAAUUGAAUCCAUUUCACUUCUCAAAAGUAGUUUUGUCAAGAUUGUUUUUAUUCACUUCUUUUAUUCUUGCCAGGAUGUCCUAAUUAUUCCCUAAAUUGCUUUCAUGCAUGUUUUCAACUUAACAAACAUUUUUUUUUUUUUUUGCUACUAAGUGGGUAGUAUUUUUUUUUAGGAAUAUUUUAUUAAAAGACUUCAAAUACUAUAAUUUUGAUUGAUUCUAUAUUGAUUAUUCAUGAAUUGCUUCUAAGAUGUUUUUUUUUUCUUUGAUUGAUUAUUGAUUAUCCUUAAGUUGACAUGUUUCCAAGUUGCUCUUUUUGAAAAUCAUACGAUGAUGUUAGUUAUUUGAAAACUUUUUUAUGAUGAUAAUUUGAUUAUUCAUGAGUUGAUUACAAGUUGUUGUUUUUUGAUAAUUCCAUUAUGAUUAAUAUUUAUGAGUUGUUAAGAUUUUUGAGUGUAGAGUAUUUUGAUUUUUUAGUUUAAGUAUUUUGAUAAUUGCAUGAUGAUUAAUAUUUAUGAUUUGUUAAAAAUUGUAAGUUCCUAAAUAUUUUUUAUUUUUUAAAGCGCAUGAUUGUUAGUUUAAGCAUUAUGAUAAUAACAUGUUUUGACAUUCGUUUGUAAAUUAUUGAUAAUUGCAUGAAGUUGAUUAAUUUUAUGUGUUGAUUGAUGCCUAUUAGGAUUAGGGUUAGGUUUGUUGUCUUUGUGUAGUUCUCACUCAAUUUAGGCUUUAUGAUUAUAAAUGAUAGGUAGUAUGGGGCUAUUCCAUUUGGUUUUGCAUUGUUAUUGGAUCUUUUCGUGGUUAUUUGUUAGUAAUGAUCAUAGAUGUUAAAUUUCAAUCCACUUAAUAUCAUACACUUUCAUGGGGUUGUUGAGUUUAGUAUUUUGUAUGCUUUAAUAUCCAUAAAGUCAAAAUUUCAAAAUAUAUAUUUUCUAAGAAACCAAAAGUCAAAUAGGGAACACUCCAAUAGGAAGAGUGGAUAGGUGAUUUAAAAAAAAAAAAAAAAUAUUUAUAUGUUAUACUCAAUUCUUUUACCCUGCGAGAUGUUAGAGAUAAACUUUUCUAUCAAUUAUAGGCAAUUCAAAUCGAAUAUAAAAUAUAUAGAUGAUAAGACAUAAGAUUUUUACGUAGAAAACCCCACACUAAUUGUGGAGAUGAAAAACCACUGGGUUUAAGAUAUAUUAAUCUAAAUCCAUUAUACGAAAUCAAGUUACACAUUUAUUUAUUCGUUUUACCAUAAAGACUUUUACUUUCCAAUACCUACAACUUGAUUCACGUUGGUGAUACAACAACCCUCGAUUGCUCUAGUGGAUCACUUUAGCCUUGUUGAAGGGAUGAAGGACUUCAAACCAAGAUUCAAAGGUCUAAUCAUUGAGUAAGAGAUUGGGAAUUGUAUGAUACUUUAGACUUUCUCUUUAGGAGACCCUCUUUAAGGAAUAUAAAGUCUCUCAAUGAUCCAUCUCUAAUCUCUAACCCUUAAAGGGGUUAAUAGGGAGGUAUUUUUAUGCAAAAACUUGAAGAGUUUCGGUUUUCGAAAAGUUUUAAACCAUAUUUGCAUGAGAAAUCUAGGUGAAAUUUGCAUUAUCACUCGAGCCAACUCACCCACUGCUUGAGUGCCUCAGGCUUGAGCGGUCCUAAGUACUUAAGUGCUCUAGGCCGCUUGAGCGCUCCUGCCAUGUUUCAAAAAUCAAUUUUAAAACCUUUUAAGUUCAAAACAAAAUUGAUCCCCUUAAUACCUCAAUGUAGCUUAAUUUGUCACAAGUCAAACCUUUUUAGAUGUACUUGUGAUUUCUCGGUUGGAUGAAUAACAACUCUUAAUCUUCAUUAAUGGAGAACAAGUCACUAUUUAAAAAGAAUUCUAUGACCAAACAUAAAAAGAAACAAAAUUAUCAAUAUAAAAACAAAACUCAAUGUCCUAAAUUUUUUCAAAGAAAAUUAAUCCAUAAGGUUUUCUUAAAAAAAUCAUCUUAGGUCAUUAGGGUUUAAAAAAGUCUUUUUUAAAAAAAAAAAAAAAAAUACAACCAAUUUCAAUUGGUAUACAUCUUUCCAUUGUUUUUUUAAAUAAAUUUUUAUUUCUGACACAUGAAUCAAAGUUCAUGAUUCCAAAUAAAAAUGAAUGAUUGUUGGCCUUGAUAAACUCAUUAAUGAUCAUACAAGGAUAGGGAUAUGCGAAUUAAACUUGUGUAUAGUAAAUGGGGACUUGGUGAGGCCCCACCCACAUACAUUCAUUUUUUAAAAAAUGUUAAUGCUAUUGUUUGAUGUAUUUCUAACCACUAAAUUAAAAAAUUAGAAGUGAAUGGCUUAGGGUUUUUCUAAAUUUUUUCUAUGCUUAGAGCAUAUUCUUAAAUUUGUCAAUUAAAUUUUUCUUGGGCUUAAAAAUCAUUUUCAAUUGGAAGAAUUAAGUUGGUAUAGGUCUUGUUUUGGCCCUAUUCCGCUUGAGAUGGUUUUGAAAAAAUAAAUUAAUUUUAAUUUUAUUCAAUAUUUUUUACUUAAUCUAGACUUCUUGAAAUUAACUUUAGAUCGCUAUUUUGUUGAAAAUUUAUUUCCUAGGUGGGAGAAAAAAUUCUUCUUUCUGCACCUACUACAUUGGCCCUAUUCUUAGUCAAGGGCUAUUUGUCUUGAUGCAAAAAUUCUUCUCGUGUGAUUUAAUCAUGUUGUUAUUUUUCCUAUGAAGUAGAUGUAUUGAAUAAAUUGCAUGAAUUUUGGUGUGAUUUUAUCAUACAUUUAAAUAAUUUAAUUAAAUUAGUCUUUACAUGCUAUUGAUAUCUACUCUAUUUAUAAUUGAUAUGCUUGUGAUUUAAUGUGGUAUUAAUUGAGACAUAGUUUAGUUAUCUAACAUUUUGGAUUGUAAUCUAGACACAUAAGGGAUGUUAAUCAUUUUGUUUCAUGAUAAAAUUCUAUAUUUAAGUUUUUUUUUUUGGAUUUAUUUUGUAUGUUCACCUAUUAUGCCAUGUUGCUAAAUGUUCUAAAAAGUGAUGAUGAAUUUGUUUUAAUAUGGUAUAAUUGGUGGUGAAUUAAAUUGAUUUGACACUUGGGUUGUAUUGUAGAUACAUUGAGGAUGAUGUAUAAUUUUUAUUUUGAUAGAAUACCACUUAGGUUUUUAUUUCUUAUUUUAUUUUCUAUUUAAAAAUAAAUAAAAAUAAGUGACGACUCAAAUUUUUUUGAAAAAAUCAGUUUUUUCACAAAAGAAAAAAGAAAAAAAGAGUUUCAUUGAGUGGGGACGCAUGUGAAAAAUGCGGGUCCAUAGAGAUACUGUCUCAAUAUCAUAAGAUAUCAUAACGUCUCUAUUUGAGAAUACCUAUUUGCCAUGAACCUUUAUUAUAAUUGACCCAAUUCGUAAAGAAAUAUUAUUACAUUAAGGUCUCACUCAUAGGUCGAAGUCUGUUGACUUCAAUAUAGGCUCAAUAUCUUCAGUAUAGAUUCACUGUAGGUCUUGUAUAAUGUAUAACCAUACACAUUAAUACACUCACUAUGGGAACUCUAUCUCAACGACCAAGACAAGUCAUCUUUUCAAUUAGAAGGUAAUACACUAUAGUCUUUGUUGAGUUGCCCAAAUGCAUGAAUUGAAUAUAAACUUUUCAUCAUCUUGCAAGGAAUUUAUGACUUGAAUAUUUUGUGCAACUCUUAGUCAAGUACAAUGCAAGUGAUAUGAACAUAAGUACUCAGAUAACCAAUUGAUGCAUAAGGGAUAAUAAAGGUAACUAGAAACAUAAAUAAAUUAAUUAAUUUAUUAAUAAAUCUAAAUUUUGUUAUAGCAUGUCAUGCUUUCUUAGACUUUAUAUCAACAAUUAAGACAUCCAAAUCUCAAAUUUCUUCAAGAAUUAGAAAAAAAUAAAAUAAAAUUUAGUGUGUCUAGUGAGCGAAGUAAAUAUGGCACCUAUGGUAAUUAUCAACUUUGAAAAUGUGUAAACUUCCUUUUAACAAGUCUCAUUCAACUAAUAAAUUUCCUCUUGAAAAAAUUACAAUGAUUUAUGGCAGUUUGCCUUAACUUUAUCAUCUAAAAAUUUCCAAUAUUUUGUGGUCUUUAUUGUUGAUUAUAAUUGCUACACGUGGCUAUAUCCUUUAUGAUCCAAAUUUUAUUUAUUUUUAGUUUCUUUCUCAAAUUUCAUUUUGAUAGGAAAAUAAAGACAUUUCAAAGUGAUGGUGAUGGUGAAGGUGAAUUCAUCUCUAUUGCUUUAAUUCACUUUUCAUUUGGCUUAGUGUGGCAUUGCACAACAACUUUCAUUCCUUAUACACAUGAACCAAAUGACCUAGUCGAAAUAAAACAUAGGCAUAUUGUGGAAACGAAGGCUCAUAAUGCUUCUUCAUGCUAACUUACCCAUGAAAUCUUGGGUUGAUGCAUUUCUGACAACAACCUACCUUAUAAUCAGGUUACCAUCUUUUUCCCUUGAUAUGAAUACUUUGUAUUUCAAACUCUAGUUUAUACACCUUUGGAUGUCAGUGAUUUCCAUCCUUAAAACAUCAAGGUAUCAAUAAAAUUUCUCAGAGAAUAAAGUUAUUGUUGGGUUGAUGAAAUGAAAAUUACAUAUAUGGCUACGAAUAAAGUAAAUAAUGCAAACUAUUUCUGAAAAUCUAACAAGAUCUUGUUAAUGCAUAAUCAAAUUUUAAUUCUUCCACCAGGUCACUUCACACUACAAGUAUAACACGAAUCAAGAAGUCGAAGCCUAAAGCACAAGGCGAUGAGGACCGGUCAAGACCGCAGCCUAACAUUAAGGCGCCUUAGCCACACCGAAUGAAGAAUCAUAUGAAGCAUAUCGUAGGGCUGCGCCGGCCGGUUUAUCACGAAAUGCCUCUGCACUUGCUUCACCCUCUUUUGCAUCCUCAAAUACCUCUCAUUCGGAACCGCUUUCAAUAUCUUCUUAAUUUCCGGUAUCUUGUCCGAAGUGAUAUUUAUGGAAAACUUGCUCCAAUCAAGAACUUCACUAAACGGCAGCACAUAGUAAUCGCAGAUGAUUACAGGCACACACCCAGCAGCGAUUGCUUCCACUACUCUGGGGCUGGCAACUUCCCAUCCACUUGGACACAGGCAAAACUUGCUGUCAACCAUUGAUUUAGCGUAGUCUCGAUUGCUGGGAAGGUGCUCGUACACCUGGACUUCGUCAUCAUUUUCUUUCCAGGACCUGAACAGGAGGGUUCGCAUGUAGCCGGAUUCACGGCCGGAGAAGAAGGCGAGGAUGUGACGCUGGUUAGGGGGUUUGUCGAGGUGAGGUGGGCCGAGCUUGCCUUUGGGUAUGUUGACUUCUGGCAAAGAGAUGUCUCUGAUGGGCUGGAACCUUUCGGAGGUGUUGGCAUUGCAAAGGACUCUGAUGAAAUGCUUGUAGAGGUCAGGGGUUACAAUCGAAAUCUCUGGUGCCUGAGAUUUCAAGAUAUAUGAUUGAUUAGUAAAACAACAUUGAUUAUAGAAACAAGUAAUGACUGGAUUUUGAGUUUCAGAGGGAGGGGGCCGUCAAAUCGUAAAUGUUUCUCACUACUUUUAUUAAAUUUUACAGACAUGGCAGCUAAUGUUUGAGAGUUGGGAAUUUUUAGGUUUAGGAAAACUUUAAGAUUUGCAGGAGAAUUCAUUUCUAAAUAGAUUAAGUAGUUUACAUUUUUACCAUAAUUUCUUCAGACAAUUCUACGGAACUACCCUAAUAUAUACAUUGGAGGUCUCUUCCAUCCAAUCCCCUUUUUCCAACUUUCAUCUAGACCUCAUCUUUUCUUCUCUAGAAUCUCUCCAAGCCAGAUUCCUCUUCUCUCAUAUCUCUUCUACUGUCCCGUUUUCUCUCAAGUAUCUCCCAUUUUCCCCCACACCUGUCCAUUUUCCUCAAAUCUUGAAAUCUCACAUCUUGAAAUUUUAAAAUUAAUUUGAUAUUUUUUCUAAUGUUUUCUAAUACAAAAUCGAAGUUCCAACAUAUAUUAGCAAAAGAAAAUGCAAGUACGUACGUACCCAAUCAUGGCAAGAGACUAGGAAAUGGUCAGCUCCAUUACUUCUAUUCCAAUAUGGAUAUUUAUUUGAAACAACGUAGAUGUAGUCUGUGACCAAUCGUUGAAGCAUGUGACCAGAGUAGUCAACAGGAGGAGAGUAGAUAUAGUGAGCAAUGCGAGUUACACUUAUUGGGAUGUAAAAGACAUGAGCCACAUCAGGAUGACCCGCCAUGAAGUGGCUGUCUCCACUUUCCAUCUCAUCCAUAAAUUGCCCUUCAAUGCCAUAGAUGCUAUUUUUUGGCCCACCAUGCACUAGGGGUUGGUCUCCCUCCUUGUAGGUCCAUAUCUUGAAUCUCUUCUCCAUUUCUAUGUGACUCCUAUUAUGCAAUCAAAGGAAUUACUUGCAUGAAAGUUAAUUUUGAUUGAAAAACUAAAUGAAAAAAAAAAAAAGAAGUUGAGUAAAAAAUACACAAUUCAUACAUUGAUAAAUAUAUAUAUAUAUAUAUAAAAGAUAUUUAGGUUAAGUAGAUUAUAUGUAUAUAAUAUAAGAAUGUAAUUAACAACAAUAUCUUAGUGCUGAGUGGAGCUCAAUCUGAACGUGAGAGUUCGACACCUAUACAAGCCACCAACGUGGCUGGGCUGCAUCCUUAACUAAAUUUGGGCACGUGGCUCAUGAUAUCAAACUUUUAUAAAAGCCAAAAACACGAGGAAAAAAAAAAAAGGCCUAACAUUUCGGUGAGGUUUUGAUAAACUUAUGGUUGGGAGAUCAAUGAAAUCGACUUCACAUCUUCUACAAAUGAAUAAAAUGUCACUAAUCAUUCGCCUUUCCGGAAACUUUGAGACAAUUUUUAAAAAUGAAAUAUGGAUUUUCACUAGUAAAAUAGUGUAGUGUGAGCUUAACUGAUGAAAUGCGUAUGGAUUUCUGUAAACAGCUCCUCUAGGGAUGAAAUUUUCUUUCUUUUGUGAAGUAUAAUUGCUUGAACGAACUGCUUCACGUAUUGCCGCUCGUGCACUUGCCAGACCACGUUCAAUUCUCUCCAAAGGACUCAUCUUUUCCUACAAGACACACAAAAAAAGAACAAUAAAAUCAAUCUAAGAAGAACAGCAGCAGUACUGGGUGCAAUUAAAGUUAUGGUAAGUCCACCCACCACAGUGGUAGUGGAAGUUGAGGGAACCCCAUGCGUGGAAACAUUUCCCAGAAACGAAGACGCUUCUGGGGUCUGGUGUUUGGUCUGUGAAUGAUUGGGAGUUGAAGAAGAAGAUGGAUGGAAGCGGAGAUCAGGGUUUUGAUUUAUGGGUGACAGAAAAAAGAUGGAAAGAAGAAGAAGAAAGAGAAGAACAGGAAAUACUAUAUAUGGUGUUGAACUCAAUGUUGCCAUAUAUAUUUCAAUUUUCUCUCUGUUCUGUCACUCCUCUUUGAAGGGUUGAAGGAGGUGGAGACACGUUCAGACAUGGAGUAAAACAAAAUUUAUGAAUGGUUUUUCCUUUGUUCGGUCCGUUACGCAUCCAGUGACGUACUCAUUUGGGCGGUCCAAUCUAAUGUCUGGAAUCAUUCCACCUUAUGUGAGUAUAACAUUAAGAAGCGUCACGGUCCCUUUUUUAGUUCUAUGACUCACCCAUAUACCACUCACUUGAUUAUGAAGAAGAAAUUAAAGAGUGUUCACCGUUUAGCAAGGCCAUUGCAAAAAUUAGGAUUUGUUUUGAUACAUUUUGGAAAAUUGUUUUCAAAAAAUAGUUUUGAAAUCGAUUUUUAAAAUAUUUCAUAUUUUUUUAAAAACACUUUAUUUUUUAAACUAGUUUUCAAAAAAUUGUUUUCUAUUUAAAAAAUUUGUGAAAAACAUAGAAUCUCUUCUUAUUAUAAUUAAAAUAAGAUUUUCCAUUAUCAUUGACUUCUGUAGAGCCUCCUUGACAAUUGUAUUGUGUAACUAAUUUGUAAUGAAAUCUUCCAUCUCAUAAUAAGUAAUAAUCACUAAACAUUACAAAUCCUAAAAAAUCCAAAGCAAUCCCAAAGUCUUAAAAUUAUAUUCUAAUUGUAAAUAUGUCUAAAAAUACAUGCAUUUACACACUAAAUAUACACUGAAAUGCUUGACAUUAAUUAGAGGGUACUUUUGUUGCAAGGCACUACUCGAAGGAUAUGUAAGUUUAAAUGAUAACUUUGGUAGUACAAGAUUGUUGUAAUUAAGUUACUUUCAAUCAUCGUUAAUUGGCCACUUUAUUCAAACAACAACAACAAUAGGUAUAUGAAACAAAUUCUAAUAAUUAGUGUGAAUUGAGUGUAUACCAGUUAGUGUUAGCAAUUAGAGAAAAGUGCUCUUUGUAGCCUGCAUCAAUAUUUUUGAGACCAAUACUUAAGAUUGAUUUGAUGUACUUAUAGAAUUUAUUAAUGUAAAAGAAAUACUCAAAUAGGGAAAUGAAGAGAGUUAGGAGAUAAUGUUGGAAUGGAAGAGAAUGAGAGAGGGAAAGUAUAUAAAAAAAAAAUUGUGAGAGGAAAUUAAUAUAAAAUUUUAAAUAAAAAACCUUGAUUAUUCUAAAGUUAAUACUUUUGAAAAGUUACUUUUUUUUUAAUGUGUUUUUUAAACUAUUAUCAAAGUUAUUUAUAUUCUUUUGAAAAUCACUUCUGACUACUCUCAAAUAUGUAUGUCAAAGUACGAUUUUGUAAGUAUAAGGAGUCGUUUGUAAUUUUAAAAUUAUGAUAAGUCAUGGUUAAACUACAAAGAUGUGAUCUUAGUUGUAUAAAGGAAAUGAAGAGGUUUAGAAGUUAAAUAAAAACUUUUUAGGCAAACCCUUUCACUCGAUAAAUGCUUGAAAAAAGAGGUUGAUGAUUUUUAUUUUUAUUUUUUCCGAAAACUAGAAGGGAGUACUAGGUGAACUUAAAUUGAAAUUUGAUUUAAUAAGAUAUGCAAAAAGUGUUGGAAUAAGGAGAGUCCCUUAGGCUCUCUUGUUUUUAUAAAAAGACCCUUAAUUAAGUUAACACCACCAAGAUUAUCUAUAAGUGUUUUCAACCAAAGAAUUUUCAAUACAAACACAUUUUGAUUAAACCUAAUGCUUCAAACUUAUGAGUUAACCAUGUGAAAUCUUUAAAAUCUUCUAGCAACCUAUUUGUUUGUCCUAUUGCAGCAUUAAAAGCUCAAUAAUAAACGUCUCAAGUCAAAAUGGCUUUCACCAUCAAGUGUUCGAGAUACCCUCAAAAGAGCUUGUAAACUUCAAUUUCCAAGCAUUUAGGCAUGAUAUAUAAAUCACUUGUGAUAUCCUUAAAACCUUUAUUACUUAUUAACUUGCUAAACUCAUAACAUUAAGGAUUCAAUAGUGACCAUCUCUAGUUAAAUAAUUCUCAAUUAUUAAGCACUUGAGAUACCCUCAAGGGGGCCUUUAAGCUCUAAUUUCUAAGUAUCAAAUAAUGGUUUUCUAAUUAAAAACAAAUGAUCCAACUCAUAAAAUGAAUAUAUCAUUAAAUGUCCAAGAUUUAGAGUCAUUUCAUGGGCACAAGGGAGGUCCUAAGGACUCCCAUCUCCUAAGCUUAAAUCACUACUCACAAAAUAUAAAAAUAGAAUGAAAAAUGAAGAACAUAAGUCAAGUAUAAGGAAAUCAUCAUUAAAAACUUGAGCUUCAACUUCAAUAUUGUACCAAACCAAAGCUUAAAAGUAAGUACAUCUAAAUAUACUCAAAGGAAAGAAGUUUGAGAGAUUACAAGCAACUAAAAGGCGCAAAACAAUAUAAAAAAUUGAAAUUUUAAUAGCAUGUCCCAAAGUUGGAGGUUGAUGAAGAAGUGCUCCCCACUAAAGGGCUUCCUCUAAAAUCCUCCUUCUCCAAUUGCAAAAUCUAUUUAGAGAUGAUCCCAUGUUGCCCUAAGUGGUAUACCACAUAGAGUCAUAAAAAAUAAAGUGUGAGAUCCAAUGGUGGCUUCAGAUAAGCCCAAAAAUGUAGGUCUCCCAUGUUCUUCGAGUUCUAGAACAAAAUGAUGACAGUUACAGAGAAAAUGGCACUAGGUUGUAAGGUGGACAUCUUCUACUCAAAUUGGCAGCGCCAUUAUGAAAAAAGACACCAAACUACAAGGUGGUUCCAUUUUUCUUCGAAUGCUCCUUAGCUCCUUCAACGUUUUUCUUAUUUUUCAUCAAUCUUUUAUAAUUUUUUUUUGUAUAUAUAGAUAGAAGACGUUGAAAUAUUCUUAAAAUUGGUAAGAUUGAUCUUCAAAGAGUAGAAAUUAGAAAAAAUUACUUGAAUUCAUUUGGGCAUUUUUAACCUCCUCAACUGUCCUCAAACUUUUGAUUGGUUGAAGGAGGAUGACACCAUUGAAUUUCAUGCAACUUUGAUCCUUUGACUCCACUCAUACUCCAGUAAUGCUCUUGCAUUCCAAAUAUUCCAAGAAGUUUCCAACAUCAUCAUUAUUCAUGAAAAUAUAUGUAAACAUAUCAAGAAGUAAUGAAAAAUAUGAUAAAACUAAGCAUAUGCAAGGUUUCUAUCAUAUUCAAAUAUAAAAAAAUUAUUCUCCUUUCCAUUUUUUUCUUGCUUAACUUUCUUCGUCUCUCCUUUACUUUUGGCCAACAAAAAUUGACAAAAAUAAAAAUUGAUAAUAGAAUCAUUAUCGGUUAAUUUAUAUAUAUAUAUAUAUAUAUGUAUAUAUAUACAUUCAUAAACUCAUGCUAAUAGUUAAUUUCAAGAAAUAGAAUUGUUCAUAGAAAACAAUAACUUGGGUGACAUUUGGAUACAAUUCCUUUUCCUUUUUUUUUUUUUUUUGUAACUUUUAGAAAUAGAAAAUACUCCUAUUAAAAGUAUAGGAACUUAUGUACAAAAAGUAAAAAAAAUUAUCUUAUAUUCUUAACAACUAUUUAACAGAAGUAAAAAUAUUUUACUUAAUUUCUUCAAUUUAAAAAAAUUUAUGAAGUGUUUUCAACAAUCCUUGUUUUUGUAUAAGGAUUCCUAUAGACUUUAAUAUGAUACUUUCUAUUCUUAAAUAAAAAAAUAAAAUAAUGUAUCCAAACAUCACCUUAUCAAACAAAAAAUAUGGAGCUAUCUUAGGAGGUAAUUGUGAGGAAAACUAUUAUCUAAAAUAUAUAUAUAUAUAUAUACAUUAUGACUACUGGGCUCCACUCAAGCACACCAGUUCCACACUCAAUACACUCAGAAUUUGGAAGAGAGCUACAAUAAAUUGCAAUGAAGAACAUUUCAAAACUAAUGAUAACUCCUCAGAACAAUUAUUCUCAAAUUAUAAAUUCAAAAUUUCACAAUUCAAUUAAGCCACUCCAGGAUACAUCAUGUAACAACAAAUUGAAGACAGAAGAAAAACAAUAUCAAGAUGGCAACCUAACAUUAAGGCGCCUCAGCCACACCGAAUGAAGAAUCAUAUGAAGCAUAUCGUAGGGCCUCGCCGGCCGGUUUAUCGCGAAAUGCCGCUGCACUUGCUUCACCCUCUUUUGCAUUUCCAAAUACGUCUCAGUCGGAACCGCUUUCAAAAUCUUCUUGAUUUCCGGUAUCUUAUCGGAAGUAAUAUAUAUGGAGAACUUGCUCCAAUCAAGAACAUCGCUGAACGGCAAGGAGUAGUGAUCGCAAAUUAUCAUAGGCACACAGCCGGCAGCGAUGGCUUCUACUAUUCUGGGGCUGGCGACUUCGUAUCCACUGGGACACAGGCAAAACUUGCUGUCCCCCAUUGAUUUACUAUAGUUUCGAUUACGGGGAAGGCGCUCAAAAACCUGGACUUCGUCAUCUUUCUCUUUCCAGUACUUGAACAAGACACUCCGUACGUAACCAUGAGCGCCCCCGGCGAAGAAGGCAAGGAUGGGACGCUUGUUGGGGGGCUGGUCGAGGUGGGGCGGACCGAGCUUGCCGCGGGGUAUGUUGAUUUCUGGGAUUGAGAUGUCUCUGAUGGGGUGGAACCUUUCGGAGGUGUUGGCAUUGCAGAGGGCUCUAAUGAAAUGCUUGUAGAGAUCAGGCUUUAGAGCUGAAACGUCUGGUGCCUGAGAUUUCAACAUAUAUGAUCUUAAGUCAAUUUAAAAUUUUUCUUUUCUUUUUCAUAUAAAUCUUAAUUAAAUUCGAAAGAAUUGCAAGGGAUCCCAAAAUAUUCAUCAUACGUAAUGGGGAAAAUGUAUAUACCCAAUCAUGACAAGAAACCAAGAAAUGGUCAGCCCCCUUGCUUCUAUUCCAAUAUGGAUAUUUAUCUGCUACAAAGUUGAUAUAGUCUGUGACCAAUCGUGGAAUCCAUUUACCAUGGUAAUGUGGAGGCUCGUAGAUAAAAUGAACUACUCUAGUUAAACUCAUGGGGAUGUAGAACGCAUUCGCCUCGUCGGGAUGACGAGCCAAAAAUUGGCUCUUUCCACUUUCUAUCUCAUCCAUGAAUUGCCCUUCGAUUGCAUAGAUGUCAUUUGAUGGUCCGUCAUGCAUUAGGGGUUGAUCUCCUUCUCGGUAUGCCCAUAUCUUGAAUCUUUUCUCCAUCUCUAUAUGACUCCUAUUAUAAAAUUGAAAAAAUUAAUUGUGAAAAUUGAUUUAAUUGAAUAAUAAUAAUAAUAAUAAUAAUAAUAAUAAUAGAUUGUUUUUGUUAAUAACAAUCUAUAGUAGCACUUUUUUUUAAAAAAAAAUUUAUUAGGGAGAACAUGUUGGUCUUUAGAUAUAAUAAUAAAAAAGUGUUUUUUAGUCUUACUUUACAUAAUAAAAUUAUAAUUUUUAGAAAAAAAAUACUUAUUAAGAACACGCGCAUGUUUUUUUUAUUUUUAUUUUGGAGAGAUAUAAACUAAGAAAGUAUAAUUUUUGGGAAAAAAAAAAUCUUACUAAAAGCCCAUUUGAAAAUGAUUUUAAAAGAGAUUCAAAGCAUUUUCUAAUAAUGGAAAGUGUUUUCUUACAAAAAUGUGGUGUUUAAUAAAUUUUUGAACACACUAAAAAUUUAAAGAAUCAGUUGAAGUGAUUACUUGACAAUUAAUACUACGAUUUUCUUUGAAAAUUCAUUCGAUCUUAUUCUAAUAAAAAACAUUAGAAAAUUAUUUGUUUUUAAGUUUAUACUCAAACACCAAGUAAGAAUGUGUUUGAUAGUAAUUUUAUGAAAUAUUUCUUAUAUUUCUAAUAUUUCAAAAGAUAAAAAUUUUCAAAUGUUAGAAAAGGUAAAAACACUUCCUAAAAUUACUAUAAAAUGCAUUCUAGAAGUGUGUUUGAUAAUAAUUUUAAAAAACAUUUUUAGUAUUUCUAACACUUAAAUAAUAAAAAUUUUUAAUUAUUAAAAAUGUUAGAAACACUUUCUAAAAUUAAAAAUACUUUCUAAAAUUAUUGUCAAAUAAUACUAAUUUAUUUUUAAAAGUGUUUAUAAUAAAAAUAUAAUUAAUAAGAACACUACACAUAAAAUCAUUUAUUUAUUGUUAAAAGCGAGCCUCAAUAAGUAGAAAGUAGUUAUAACUUUUCACUCGUCAUUUCACCCUAUAAAAAGGAGUUAUUUAAGUUGAUAAAUGAGAUUUAAAAAAAAAAAAAAAAAAGCAGAGAAAAAAAAGAGAUGGAUUUUAGUAAAUGUAAUUUUCAUUCAAUAAAAAGAACAUGCAUGUAAAGUAGGUGUAUUAUGAGACUAAGAGAAGUAUAUAAUUUCAUGAUGGCAAAAAUUGAUAAAGAAAAUAUGAUAUUUAAUUAACUAAUAGAAUGUAAUUAUUAUUUUGUCGUACUGUUUUAUUUAUUUUUAUUUUAAAAAAAUAUUACUAGCUAUUAUUAAAAUGUAAAAAUCUUGUAGAAAAAUAGAAUUUACUUUCUUUUCUUGCACAUUAGUAAAAUUUUAAAAAUUUGAGAUAAUAAAAAAAUUUUAGUGCUUAUAUUUUUUAAACUGUUUUAAAAAUUAUUAUUUUUUAAAGUAAAUGUCUAUUAUUUUGUAAAUGUUUUUUAUAAAAACAAAAACUAGUAUAGGUUGUUAAUUAACCUAAAUCAUUUUGACAUAAGCAAAGGUGAUAUGUGACUUCUUAAUAAUAGUACUAAUAAUAAUAAAUAAAUAAAUAAAAAUAUGAUUACCUACAAUAAAUACCUAAUAUGCAAAAAAAAAAAAAAAACAAAAUGUCACUAAAACUAAUCAAGUUGUUGGAAUGGACUGAAAAUUACAUAGAUAUUAACACAAAAAAAAAUGGAAAAGAAAAGAACAUGAAAUACAGAUUCCAUAGUGCAUUAAGUGAUUAGCCAACAAACAAUCCAAUAUUAUGAAUAAACUGAAUCACCUUCUUGACCUUUGAAAGCCUCAUGUCUUCCUAUGAGAUUUUUCAAUACCAUUACUUGAUUAGGACAAUCUUCUUAAGUCUUUUUGCAAGCAUUCUCCCACCAUUAACAUCAAAAAAUUAUCAGUCUAUGCUAUAAGAAAUAACUUAUUUGAAAUUCUAAAAAGUAAAAAUAAGAAAAAUAAUACUUUCUCUUAAAGUUACUUGUAUUCAAAUGGUAAAAUAUAACCAAAAAUAUGUUAUUUCACACACAUGAAAUGUUACCUGCACUCUAGGGAUCGACCAUGAACUGCAACUAUCAGCAAAGUUUAAUUCUUCAUAAUUACAUUAAGAAUGAAAACGAUAUGAAUUUGUUCCUACUUAGUUUCAAUCAUAUUCAAUGGACCAAUUUAAUCCAAAUCCAAAAUUAAACUUACUAUAAAUUCAAUACAUGGAAGUGUGUCCUAGAAAUCAUAUAUAGAAAAGACGUGGAAUUGUACUCUACACCAAUUUAUCAUAGCACCAUCAAUGAGGCGUGUGGAAAAAAAAAAUGAAAAUGAAGAGGAUCCUUAUUAUUGUUACUGAUAUAAAUGGUAGGCCACGUCACAAUUAUUAAGAAUAUUCAUAAAUUAUUUUAAGAUUUCUUCCAAUGUUGCCAAGGUUUUGGCUUUUCUCAAUUUGCAUGCACACAAUUGACUCAACAUAUAUAAGUAACAGCUGUAUAUACCCUCUACGAAUUAUACAAGACUUUUUAGUUUAAAUAUUUUUAUUGGUUUUUUUUAAUUAAAUUUGGUAAAUAAAUAAUUUAAAUUUUGAUAAAAAAAAAUUACAUUACAAGCCAUCAGAAAGAAACACCCUUUUAUGGGUUAAUGAAACAAAGAUUGAACUGUUCUUAGACUAGGUAGGUAGGAUCAUCAAUUUGAGACUUUCUAGAUGUCUCCUUUUGUCAAAAUAAUGUUUCAAAAUUUUAAAUAAAUAAAGUGGAGGUUAAUAUUUUAUCAUCGAUUUUUUUUUUAUUUCUUAUUUGAUAGAAGAAAAUGAAAGGCAUUCCAAAUUGAUAAUUGUAAAAGUGUUAUUAGAAAUGUUUUCAUGGACAAUUUAAUGAGUAUUUAAAUAUAAAUUCAAUUGGUGUACUUUUUUUUGUGAAAAGAAAAAAAAAAUUGGAAGAAACAUUUAAUGAAUACCAAUAAAAAAAGAUACUUUAAAAGAUUUAUUUAUUUAAAUUUUUUCAAAUACUCAAUUUUUAUUAGGAAAAUAUAUUUAAAUAUUAAUUAACAGGGCAGAUCUAAUGCAUGCCAAAAGAAGCAUAUGCCCCUUUAAUUAUUAUUUUUUUAAAUUAUCAUUAGAUUAUAAAUGCUUUUUGUUCAUUUUUGCCCCGCCAAAAUCAAGAGUUAGAUGUUGCCCACUGUUAAGUCAUUUGCUGGUUUGGUCACUGGUAGCUAAGGUUUCUAAAUCUUCAAGAUGGCUCCUAAAAUGUACUUUUUACUUCAAUUGUCCUUUUUAUUGUUAUGUUUAAUUUUAAAAUCAUAAUAUCAUAUGAAACUACAAUCAAACUAAGAUAAGUUUCUAAAUCAUAUAAUAGAAGCAUUUUUUAUUUAUUUAAUUAUUUCUUAAUAAAUUUUGAAUUAUGAGCCGAAUCUAAGAAUAUAAGUUAGGGAUAGUUUCUUCUUCAAACAUGCAUUACGAAAUGCCACAUUGCUUUGUCAACAAAAUCAUGGUUUUUCAACAUCAUAUUCUACUUACAAAAAUCUUUCAAGAUGUAAGGUUCCUAUUUAAUCAAAUUUUCCUGCAUAAUGAAGCCACCAAAGAGAUUAAUCCAAAGAUUAAUAACUAAAUAAAGAUGAUGCAUGUCUCUAGUUUAGAAAUUAAAUUGUUCUUCCUCGAUAGAAUGAAUUAGCUUUGAACUUAACUGAUGAAAUGCAUACGGAUUUCUGUAGACGUCUCCUCUUGGGAUGAAGGUUUCUUCCUUUUCUGAAGAAUAAUUCCUCCUCUGAAUCGCCCUGCGUAUUGCCUCUCGGGCUCUCGCCAGACCUUCUUCAAUCCUCUCCACAUGACUCAUUUUCUCCUAUAAAAUUGCACCCAAAAAAGAAAAGAAAAGAAAAGGAAAAACAAACGGUUAAUGAACGAAAUUGUUAUUAAGCUUCAAACCAAACAGAAAUCAUUGCUGAAGUGGUAGAUUAUCACGCACUCUGAAACGCUUCCUAAUCUCGUUAGUUGCACUGGCUCCAUCAGUGGAAGUUGAGGGAACCCCAUCUGCAGAAUCAUUUUUCGGCAACAGAGAUGGGGACGAUGAGGUUUGAAGGGUUUGGUGAGUUGUCUCUGAAAGGUUUGAAUCCGUAGGGAGCAAAUGGCGGAGGAUGUUUUGGUUUCGAUUUAUGGGUGACAGGUACAAAGGGAUGAGAACAAUGAGGAAGAGAAUAGCUGGAAAUAUUACGAACCGUGUGGGACUCGAUGUUGCCAUGGCUUCUUCACUUUUUCUGUCUUCUUCUCCACUCACUUUCGUGAAAGGGUAUGAGCGAUAGAUAUGGUUAUGAUACAGACAUAGAGCAUAGAAUGGAACCAAAUAUCUGUAGGUUUUUUUAUUCUGGUUCAUCACGCACUCUUGCUGCUAUUGUCCAAAUUCUAUAUGCGGGACUUACCUUUAGAGUAAUGCUGUCCAAAUUAUAUGAGUGGGAACCACCUUUUGAUGACUUGUCAAAUGGCAGACCAUCUGGUAAACAACAAAAGAAAAUCAUGAUUCUUAAUUAAAAAUAGAAAGACUGUAGGAAGGCUGACCAAGGCCAACAUGAAGGCAGCCUAAGAUUAAAUACAAGGGCUCUUUUCAAAUUAGGUUUGCUUGUAAGAGUUUUGUAAGGGUCUAACAUAAGACUCAAAAUAUUAGUAUCUUUGUUUUGGUUAAUUAUCUUGUAGAAUUUAAUUCCUUUUUUGUACUUUUCAUAACUUGUAGAGAAAUUUCUUCUUGUGUUUAAUUCAAAUUUAUUACAUUCAAAUUGUGGUUUGAAAUUGUCUUUGAACACAUUUUUAGUUAAAAGCAAAAUAUUGUCUCAAAGAAUGAUGACGAAGAUGGAAAGCUUAAUGGGUAUAGUAGAGAGAUAUGUAAAGCUUUCCAAAUUUGAGAUUGAUCAUAUGAAUGGUUGAAAGUGCCUUCUUUAUCAAUAGAAUUAGCUAGAGGUUGAAUGAUAAUACAAUACUUCAAUAUCAAAAUUUAAAUUUAUUCCUAUGCUCCUUCUAUUUUAACAAUAAUUGGGAAUAUGGCAAUAAUCAAUUCACAUGAGGUAUACAUGAUGAAAAAAUUACCUAUAUAUUUGAAUUUUCAAGAAAUUUUGUAGAUAUAAAAUCAUAGGUCAAUUAAUCAUCGGAGAUAAAAUUUACUAAAUAUUAGCAUAAUGUAAAUACUCUUAUAUGAUUUGCAUGCACCUACACUUAAAAGGGCUUUUACAAAUCAAUAUUUAUACUCUUUUUUCACAUUUCUAAUGUAACAUCUCCUACUUCUUAAUGGAUCACGUCAUUUUCGUGUUAAGGUUGUGAAUCAAUAUAGCACAUGUAUUUCCACUUAAAGGACUUUCAUGACAAAUACUUGAAAACUUUCAAAGUUUAGUGUUUAAAAGUAGAACAGUAGUUAUAUCCUCAAUUUGUGCAUCUCAUAGUUAAGACCACGGAAUAUUAUUUAUAGAAAAAUCCUAAAUGAUUUAUUCAAAGUAUAUAUAGAAGGUACGAUAUUAUUAAGAAGGACCAUUUAAACUAUUAAAAAAAAAAUUAACUUCUAUACAAGUUUGCCAAGCACUCAAACCACUCAUAGAGAGACUUUUAAAUGCCUUUUAAGGUAGUGUUAAAUGCCUUUUUACUUAGAGUUUUAAUUACUUUCCAGUUUUAAUAGCCCUUGCAAUGUAAUAAUACUCCAAACAUGCACUUACCCCAAUUGAAAUCAAUGUCUGAAUAACUUGAUCAUGAUCAUAAAGACCUAAGAAACUAAUUAGCGCUAGAAUCAAUAUUUAAAUAUAAUAAAAUUGUCAACCUAGUUUGAAGCACUAAUAGUUCAUCUAUUUGAUAAUUUUAUAACAAAAUAUAGAUUGUAAUGAACCCUCUCAAACUCUUAAAAUAAUGUUUACUACUGCCACAUGGAAUAGAAUCUUAAUCAUAAUAUGCAUUCCCUUCCCUCCUCGCUUAUUUUCAUAAAAACGAAAAAUUAUUCCAUUUUUGUGAAUCUUUCUUAGCACACUACCUAUGACCUAAACACACUCAAACAAAGCUAGGAAAAUUAGUGUAUGAAAAGCAUGUAAAAAAAAUGACUAGUGAACUUUUUUAUUUUUUAUUUUUUGUCACAAAACUAUUAAAGUAGAAAAUGUAGCUAAAAAAUAAUAAGCAUCGAGAAGCAGGAAGACAAAUAUAACCAAUAAUGAGACACAAGCAUCAUCAAAUAAACAUCAUUGAUCAUAUCUAGAAUUGUAAAGGCAUAACUAUGUCAUCCAAUAUAUAAUUAAAAGAGUAUUUGAACACAAUCCGUGAUAUCUAAAAGGAAUAGUCAAAUACAUCCAAAAAGAAGACAACUCAAUCCUAACCAAAUAUACUAAGGCUAUAUUUGGUUCCCGGAAAAUGCGAGAGAAAGAAAAUUGGAAGGAAAAAUGGAAGGAAAGAAAAAGGUAAGGAAAGUAAUAUAAAUUUUUUCACUUGUUUGGUUAUCCAUGAAAAAUUCAAGGGAAAAAAAUUUAUUUUCUUUUGUUUGGUUAACUAUGAAAAAUAAGUCAAGAAAAAAUGAAAGGAAAAUAAAUUCAAUAAUUUGUUUAAGAUGAUUAUCAAUUUAUAGAAUAAUAAAAUAAAUUUCAUAUUCGUAUUUUCUAAAAAUCAGAGGAAGACCCAAUUUUCCAAUCUUCCAAGAUGGAUUCUAGAUGGACCAAAUCGAAGAUCCUUCACAAUUGAAGGGUCUCAAAUAAAGCAAAGCACCAAGCCUGGGAGAGCUGGACGCCGCGGACGACGGGGAGGGGGAUGAAGCGGUAGAGGAGGGACAUGAGGCUGGUGGCGCCGAAGAUGAAGAGGGUGGCGGCAGUGGAGAGACUCGCGACAGCGAUUUGGGGGAGGGAGAGGAGGGGGUCAGAGAUGGCGACGACAGCGAUGGACUUCAUGGGUUGGAUAGGCAUUGGGAUGCUGAAGAGAAAGCCGGUGGAGAUGUUGUAGAGAGCCGUGAAGAUGAGGGUUGUGGAGAGGUCCAGAUGGUUGACCAGUGUGAGAGUUAGGACGAUGGGUAUGUAGGUGCCCAGGUCGCCCACAGAGCCCCCGAGCUCGACGGAGAGAGUGGUUUUGAGACGGAAGGAGCUGAACCACCACCGGCUGGGGCGGAUGAGAGUGGUGGUGGAAGGUGUGUCGUCGGCCAUGAAGGCAGCACAGUCAAAGGACUGAGUUUGUGAAUUCAGUUUUGCGGUGAGAGAGACAGACGAGGGCCGGAGGGGGCAUAGCAACCGGUGAAGAGCCCGAUAAAUUUUCCUUCCUCUUUUUCUCUUAUUUUCCUCGUUAUCUUUUAAGGAAAAUAGUAAGAAAAAUAUUAUGAUAUUUUCCAUCAUAUUUUCCUUUAUAUUUUUUUUCCAUCAUAUUUUCCAUGUAAUCCAAACUAAAGAAAAUGAUUUUCCACAUGAUUUUUUUUCCUUUCCUUAGCAUUUUCCAGGAACCAAACAUAGCCUAAUAGUCCAUAUUCAAGAGUGGGAAAUAUAUGCAAGCUUAGACCAAAUUGAGAAGUAGCCUAAAUUUAGGGAAAAAUUAAAAUUUCGUACUACAAGAAAACAUGCUUUUCCUAGUGAAAAUUUAGGAACAAAAUAAAUUUUUGUCACUAAAAAUAAUUUUUCUAAUAAAAUUCCAAAUAUUGUCACUAACACCAAAUUUUUGACAAAUUUUCAUGAUGAAAUUGAAAUUUCUCCUGCCAAAAUAAGUGGCAGAAAAUUUAGAUUUUUUUUCUCUUUUGUAUAAACAGAGUUAUGAUGAUUUAAUAAACUUAAUCCUACCACAAGUAAGAAUCAAUCUAAAGAAAAUAGUUAGGAUGUUAUCAAAGAGUUGGGUGCACUAAAGGAUUUGUAAGUGAAAGAAUUAAUGCACUUGAGUAGAGAGCUUUGCAUGAGAGAAAAUAAAUGGUAACAAAUAAACGCAAGUGUUCUCUUGGUCAAUAAAUGUAUAAGAACUCUCUAAUUUAUAGAAAAACUUCUCAGGCACCCAAAAUUUAGCAAAAAGUGCUAAAUUGGUUGAGCUUCAAUUCAAUCGAUUGGAUAGUAAUUGGGGCAUUUAAUGCUCUAUAGGCAACCAUUGGUGAGAUUUAGCUUUGAUCGAUUAAACACUAGAUAUUGGAAAAGAAAAGAUUUUUUAACAACUUUGCUUAGUCUGAUUCAUGCCUAAUUGGUGUCUCAGCUGAUUCGUGUCCAGCUGGUGCUCCUUGAUUGAGGGAGUAAUCAACAAAAUUUAUAACCUAUAACACCAUAUACUAGGGUAGCAAAGAAAAAGCUACUAUAGUAUAGUGGCUCUAGGAUCGUUCACUGGGAAGGAUUAGCAAGCUAUCAAUGAUACCAAUUCAAAGUGAAUUGAGCUUGUUUCAUUUCAAGGUUAGCUUAAGAAAUAAAACAUAAACUUUGAUUGGUAAAGAUUUAGACUUAAACUAGCUAACACAAUAAGUAAUGGGAAAAACUUAGGAAGACAAACAUUCCUUGGAGAGUUAGGUUUACUGGGGUGGUUCCUCGUGCAAAAGACAUAGUUCCGGUCAGAUGGUUCAUUUCCUCGCGUUAGAGAUUCAACAUAUAGUCAAUUCUUUAACCGGUGUUGUACAGAUACAUCCUUCAAUUAGAUUUCACUUUAAUUCUCUCAUUGAUGCAACUUGCAAUGGUUUAAGCCUCUCACUAAGCCUUAACCAUUCAAGGUGAUCUUUAACCUUGGAUUACCCGUCAAAAGCUCGCAAGAGAUAACUAAUGGAUGUCUCCUUGGAGUCUAAAAGCUUAGCAAGUGUUGGCUAUUCUAGAAAAUCCUACCCUAAAGUCACCUCCUAGAGGCUCGCAAGGGGUAAACUAGUGCAUUUCCACGGUUGGAAAUCACUUGCCUUACCAAGUGUUGGCCCAGGUGACUCUAAGGUGUUUUAAGUUAACUAAAAACAUAGAAAUCACUAAAGGAUUUCACUUCCUCUUCAUUACUUGCUAAAACCACAAAGCUUUGCAUUCUUGCACUUGGAACCUUCCCCAGCAACCUUAGCUCCAAGGAACUAGAGGUUUAGUUACUCAUCCUCUGGGGAAAACUCCUCAGAGAGUUCAUAACUUAGUAAGAAAUAAAUAAUACAAAGUGAGAAGGUAAGGCAAAACAAAGGCCUGAACUUUACUUGCUUUCCCAAAACUUUACAAAGGAUCCCCCCUUGAGAACAGGCUCCCGAGAGGUAUUUAUAUGAACAUAAUAUAAAACUAAUUAUUACAUAGAUAUUUUCUCUUUUUACUAACUUAAAAGCUAAGGAAACUUGUAAUUGGUGGCUUACAAGGAGUAUUUUGGGAUUUUGACAACAAAAAUCUGAUGUAAAAUAUCUCCCAAUGUCGGUAGCAAAUAUCGGGAUGCUCCAGGAACCAUUUCGCAAGAGAAAAUGGUGUCUGCGAGAUUUCGCAGACACUCAAGAAGGGCUGCGAAAUCACUUCGCAGCAAAAGGCCAUUCUCGCAGGGCUGCGAAGUUGGCUUCCACCUUGAGGUUCCCAGCUUCCUCCUUGCGGCAUAUAUCGGGCAACUUCAGAAGGAAAUACACCCUAUUGUACAAAAAGGCUGCGAAAUCACUUCGCAACAAAAGGGUGAUUUCGCAACACUUUGCAAAAUGCUUCCUUCAGCUUGGAGUGAUUGGCUUGCAAUGACUACAACUUCUUCGUUUCAACUCCGAAUUGCACACCGUUUGAAGCAUUGGAUUGUUGACUUCCUGAGCUUCGAAACGACAUAUAGCAUGCAUAAAUUGGACUUCAAGAAGUGCUCCAAAAGUGGCUGCCAUGACUGUCAUCAAGAAUAUGCUUCAUGGCAGAUUCUCUUUACUUUUUCUCAUUGCAUUCCGGAUUUACUCUUGGCAAAUGACUUCCAAGCUUUUCCCAAGAUUCCUCAUAACUCUCCUCAAUCUUGAAUUGCUUUGGUGAUCAAAUUACUAACAAAAACAUCAAAACUUACACAAAGUGAUUAAAAUUGCUUUCAAGGGUCCUUAACAUGCCAAUUGAGUUAAAAGGCCAAAACUACUACUCAAAAGUGUUUAAAAGGAUUAAUUAUAAGCUAUCAAAUAGCACUUUUUGAGUAGUAAUCAUAGUCCUCAUCAAUUGAGAAAGCUUAGGCGAUUGAACCGGUUCCUUAAUUGAUUCUAUCAGUUCAAGCCACCCUUGAUUGGUUAAGCAAAAACUAGCUCAAAAAGCUUCUCAUUUUAGCUCUAAUAUUCCAAUAACUUGAACAUUUCAUUUAAAAACCUUUAUAGGAAAUUUUUAAAAGAAUUUAGCCUAAGGUUUUGAGGUAAAAUGCGUAUUCAUCCAUUUUUAAGAAAUUAAGAUCAUUCUUAAACUAUCAAGGUAUGAAUGAAUGCAUUCGAAAGUGCAUGAGAAAUCAAUUUUAUACUAAGCGUACCUAUGAGACUCAUUUUACAUUGGUUCCUAGACAUCUUGAGUCUUCAAGGAUCCAUCUCUUUAUAAUGUUUAAAUUUCUUAUGAACAAUCUUAAGCUUUCUUCUGAAUUUAUCAAUAAAACCUAAAAUUUUAUUUGAUUUAAACAAGUUAGUACACUUAUCCUUGUUUUCUUAUCAUCAAAAUGUAUUUUGGAGAAUCCUUAGGCUAACAUCAAUUUUGAUUUUAAUGUUAAUUUUAGUAAUUUUAAUUAUAGUUUUAGUUGUUAACUUGAAUGUUAGUCUUAGUUUUGACUUUAAUUUUAAUUUUAUUUUUGAACUAAAUUCCAAUCCUCAUCUUAGUCUUAAUUUUAAUUUCAAUUUUGAAAUCAAUUUUAGUUUUGAAUUUAAUUUUUAUUUUUAUUUUAAUCUUCAUUUUAAUUUUAAUCUUAAUUUUAAUUUAAUCUUAAUUUUAAUUUUAAUCUUAUAAUUUUGAUCUUGAUUUUGAUUUUAAUUUUAAUCUUAGAAAUGAAAAGAAAAUUUGUUUUUUAUGAUUAAAAUUCAAAUUGGAGAACAAAAGUUUGAAGAAAACCAACAAAGGAAAAAUUUAGUUUAAUCUUAAUUUUAUUUUUAAUGUUCAUUUUAGUAAUUUUAAUAUGGUUUUAAUCUUUAACUUUAAUUUUUGUCUUAAUUUGGGUGACAUCACAUAUCGGAUAUGGGAGAAAGUUCCUGACGCUAUAUAUGUAGAGGCUCCUCUUAACCUUAUAGAUUUGUUUUAAAGUCGUGAAAGUUCAUUUGGGUCCAGAGUGAACAAUAUCUACAUGGUUGGGUGCGGGUCAUUACAAAUGGUAUCAAAACCGAUCCCUAACCCCGAUGUGGGAGUUUGUUUGGUACCAUAGGGGGUGUUUGUUUGUUUCACCCCAUAAUCUUGUAUGACACAACAAGGAUGUUAUGUUUGCAUAGGGGAGAAAGUUUCUGAUGCUAUAUAUAUAGAAACUCAUCUUAACUUUGUAGAUGCGUUUUAAAGUCGUGAGGGCCCCCUUGGGUUUAAAACGGACAAUAUCUACAUGGUUGGGUGUGGGUCAUUACAAAUCGUAUCAAAGUCAAUCCCCAACUCUAAUGUGGGGGUUUGUUUGGCCCCAUAUGAGGUGUUUGUCUGUUUGACUUCACAAUCCUAUGGAACACAACGAGGACGUUGUGUCUACAUAGAGGGUGGUUUGUGACAUCCCACAUUGGAUAGGGGGGAAAGUUUUUGGCGCUAUAUAUGUAUGGACUCUUUUAACACUGUAAACGUGUUUUAAAACCGUAAGGGCCCCUUUGGGUCUAAAGUGGACAAUAUUUACAUGGUUUGGUGCGGGUCAUUAUAAAUCGUAUCAGAGCCGAUUUCCAACCCUAAUGUGAGAGUUUGUUUGGUCCUAUAGGAGGUGUUUGUUUGUUUGUUUGGCCCCAUAAUCCUGUAAGACACAACGAGGACGUUAUGUCUGCAUGAGGGGUGUUUAUGACAUCUCACAUCGAAUAGGGGAGAAAGUUCCUAGUGCUAUAUAUGUAGAGACUCAUUUUAACUCUAUAGACACAUUUUAAAGCCAUGAGAACCCCCUUGGGUCCAGAGCAGACAAUAUCUACAUGAUUAGGUUGUUACAAAUAGUAUUAGAGUCGAUCUCUGACCCCACUGUGGGGGUUUGUUUAGCCCGUAAGGGGUGUUUGUCUGUUUGGCCCAGCAAUCCUAUGGGACACAACAAGGAUGUUGUGUUUGUAUGAGGAAAUGUUUGUGACAUCCCACAUCGGAUAGAGGAGAAAGUUCUUGACGCUAUAUAUAUUCCUCUUAACCUUGUAGAUGUAUUUUAAAGUUGUGAGGGUCAUUUGGGUCUAGAGUAGACAAUAACUACAUGGUUGGGUGCGGGUCGUUACAAAUGAUAUCAGAGCCGAUCCUCAACCUCAAUGUGGGAGUUUGUUUGGUCCCGUAGGGGGUGUUUGUUUGUUUGGUCUAAUAAUCACAUGGAACACAACGAGGAAAUUAUGUCUUUAUGGGAGGGAGUGUUUAUGGCAUCCCACACUGGAUAUGGGAGAAAGUUCUUAGCGCUAUAUAUAUAGAGGUUUUUCUUAACUCUGCAGACGCAUUUUAAAGCUGUGAAAGCCCUAUUGGGUUAAGAACGGACAAUAUCUACAUGGUUAGGUGUGGGUUGUUACAAAUAGUAUCAAAGUCAAUCUCUGACUAUGAUGUGGGGGUUUGUUUCACUCCUUAUGAGGUGUUUGUCUGUUUAACUCCGCAAUCCCAUGGAAUACAAUGAGGACAUUAUGCAUACAUGGUGGUGGUUUGUGACAUCCCACAUCAAAUAGGGGAGAAAGUUUUUGGCACUACAUAUGUAUGGACUCUCCUCUUAAGUAAGUAGACGUAUUUUAAAGUUGUGAGGGCUCAUUUGGGUCCAGAGCGAACAAUAUCUAUACGGUUGGGUGCGAGUUGUUACAAAUGGUAUCAGUGCCAAUCCUUGACCACGGUGUAGGGGUUUGUUUGGUUCUGUAAUCUUAUGGGACACAACAAAGACGUUGUGAUUGCAUGAGAGAGAGAGAGAGAGAGAGAGAGAGGUUUGUGACAUCCCACAUUGAUUACUACUCAAAAAGUACUCUUUUAUAGCUUGAAACUAAUUGUUUUAAACACUUUUGAGUAGUAGUUAAUACAUUUUAACUCAAUUGGCACAUUAUGGAACCUAGCAAGGGUUACUAAUCAGUUUUUAGCAAGUUUUGGUGUUUUUGGUAGCUAUUUGAUCAUUGAAACAAGCCAAGAAUGAGGGAGAAUUUUGUGAAAUCCAUGGCAAUGCAAGUUGAAGCUCAAAUACAUGAAGAAUCCGAGCUUUGGAGCACUUCAUAGCCCUUUGCCAAGACAAUCAGAGAUGCAAGAAAGAAAACCAGAUGAAGUAAUCCAACAACCGGCAUUUUCGCAUGGCUAUGCGAAAAUUUCGCAUAGCAUGCGAAAAUUUAGAGGAGGAGCAGUUGCAGGACUGAGUGAAGGACAAAUUUUGCAUACCCUGUGAAACCAUAAGAGGCAGCCAAAGAAUUUCGUACACUAUGCGAAAUUUCGCAUGGUAUGCGAAAUCUUCUUGUGCACCAACUCCGUUAGAUUUUUAUUUCUAAAUAUUUGGUGUAAUUUCCUAUUUUCUCCUUAUAAUCAACCUAGAUAUUUUCUUUUAUAUCUUUUUAUAUUUUUUUGGUAACAUCUUAGAUAGACACAGAGGGAGACACACAGAUGGAUGGAGAUUCAUUGAACACUUGUAAAUUCCCGUAGUAAGAAAUAUACAGAACUUUUGCUCUGUCUUUCCUUCUCAUUUUAUUUUCACUUUUCUUUUUAGCCAAACAACCUCUGAGGAUGAUUUCUCAAGGGAUGAGUGGCUAGGUUUUAUGUUUCUUGGAGUGAUAGAAGCUAGGUGAAGGACCCGAAUGCAAAGGUGAGAGUUGUCCUUGCUUUAAAUGAAAGUAGUUGUUAACCAUUAGUGGUUUUUAUUUCAAGGUUUAGCUUUAAAUCCCUUAAAAUCACCUUGAAUGACCAAUACUUGGUAAGCUUUUCGGAUUCUAUGGAUGCUUAUUGCUAGAUCCAUGGAUGUCCAUUAGUUAUCAUUUACGAGACAUUGGAAGGUGGUUCAAGGUGAGAAUCACCUUGAAUGGCCAAUACUUGGUAAGCUUUUCGGAUUCUAUAGAUGUUUAUUGCUAGAUCCAUGGAUGUCCAUUAGUUAUCAUUUACAAGCCAUUGGAAGGUGGUUUAAGGUGAGGGUCUUUAGUGUUUAAAGCCAUUAAUGGGAAACAAUUACCAUUUUUCAUGAACCUUUUGGAUCAAAUCUUAAUUGCUAAAUACAAAACCGGUUCGGGAAAUAACCAUCUUUUAUGUUAUUGUCCCCAACGCAAGGAGAAGAUCCGGAAUCUCCCCCUUUGCCUAAAGAACCCGAUCCUAGUGACCUAAAGCUCCAAGAGACUUUUUCUUUGUAGUUAACUUCACUUAUUAUUUUUGCUUAACUUAAAAUCAAUCUUUGCAACCACAAUUCCAUUUUCUUUAAAAGCUAAUUUUCAUAAGGAAAAACACCAUUUUAUUUCCUUCACUAGAGUCAACUGUACGAUGAAAACCCAUCCCUGUGGACGAUCCUAGAGCCACUAUACUAUGUUAGCUAUGCUACCUUAGUGUAAGGUGAUUUAGGCUUUAUAAAUUUUGUUGAUAACACCCAUCUAGGCCAAAAUCAAAUGGCACGACUGUAAUGGGGACGAAUCACACAUUGACAAAUUUUAACGACAAAUUGGUCAUGUAAUGGUUUGAAAAAUGUCUAUGAAAUAUAUGAGAUCAUGCUAAAAUUUUGAUAUGAAAUUUAGUUUACUAAAUUAUUAUGUUUGAAUUUUUUUUAUUUCUUGUUUUGUUUUAUUUUUUUAUUUUCUCAUUUUUGGCAUUUCCCUUAUGGGGCUAUGGAUUUGCUAGAUCCUAAGACUAGUAAAGUCUUUAAGGUUAAUGGCGAUAGGGUUAAGCCAUUUGUGGAGGGAAUCAAUGAAGUUGGGGAUCAAAUCCCCUUUCAAAUUAAUGUUGCUCACUAGCCCAAAUGAGUUCUUCUUCAUUUUGUACAUAGUUGGAGCUUUCAGGGAGUGUGUGCGUUCAUUUCUUUUGGUGUUAUUAUUUAUUUUUCUUUAUUUAGGUGGGUUGCUUCAUAAUUUUAAUCUCAAAUGGUGCAAAACAUAUGUUCUUCUGAUGGAAAGAAUGGGAGAUGGCAGGUGCUAGUUUGCUGUGGAUUCGAAGUCUUUCGAGAUUUUGAUCAACAUUGUUGGAGGGGGAGCUUCGUGGUAUCAUCUUGGAGAAAAGUAGAGGCUUCUCCACUUGGAUAAGGUUUGACGAUUCUAGUUUGAGGUGUUUUCUGGAGGGAGUGGAAGUUUGCUGUAGGGAGGAGAGGCUUGGGAAAGUUGUAAAAAAUUGGGAAAAUGAGAGAAAGAGAUUUAGAUUGAAAAAAUGUGCUAACGAGGUGGGGAGGUACAUUCUUUGCUAUGGUCGUAAUUUGGAAGCAAAGAGGUUCUGUUUGGUAUUUCUGGAUGGUAGAAGGAUUCUAGAAGGGUGGGUUUUGCUAGUUGACAAGCUNNNNNNNNNNNNNNNNNNNNNNNNNNNNNNNNNNNNNNNNNNNNNNNNNNNNNNNNNNNNNNNNNNNNNNNNNNNNNNNNNNNNNNNNNNNNNNNNNNNNGGGGGGGGGGGGUGAGUUUUUGGAAUUUGGGAGGUGACUUCUUUCUUACAGAAUUUGAGGUUGUAGAGGAAGCUGAAAGAGUGCUACGAAGAGGGAUUCGACAUUUUAAGGAUAAGACGUUUCAUCUAGAGAGGUAGGGACCCGAGGUAGGUUGUUUUUGCCCGGAGUUCAUGCAAAUCACUAUUGGGUGAGGGCGGUGGGGCUUCCUCUAAAUUUAUAAAACUAGAAGGUGUUCAGGAAAUUGGAGGAUAGUCGCGAAGGGUUGAUUGCUGUGGAUGAUGACACGUCUAAAUUUGUGCAGCUUCAGUGAGCUAGGCAUUUGUGAGGACGUAAGGGAAGAUUUACUUGGGUCGUUACAUUUGGUGGUGGGUUCCUUAUGUUUUGCAAUCUAGCUAUUGUGGGAAGUGCCACCUUGGGUGUCAGUGGUGGUGCCGACGCAAGGGAAGGAGUGGUCGAAUGUUAGAAAUGAAAGAGGUUUGGAUUCACACGUUUGGAGCAGCGUGGGGCCAUCGUGGGUGCAAGGGCAGACUCUAAGGGAUGGAGUAGUAGGGCCAGUUGGUGAAGGUAGAGCUUAGCAGAUGGGAGUUAUUUCUAAUCAGUAUGGCAUGAGUAUGGUCGAGGGUGCCGAGGUAGGUGUAGGAAAUGAUGGGAAUGGGAAGGGGAAGGGGAAUGAGAAAAGAGUAGUUGAGGUUACUAGUGUUAGUUCAUAUGAUGGAGUGAGAUUAAAGGGGAAAGGAAGUUGGCCUAGAGUGCUUUGGGUCGAGUCGGACAAGGUGAGAAACAACGAGCUUUUGAGAGCCCAGGAUUCCUGUCAGCGGGUUGUUGUUAAGUUUGGGCCUGUAGUCCAUGAGGUUCUUAGGAUGGACUUUUCUUUGGGGAUAUUAGGAGCCGUUGGGCUUGGGGACUCAAGCCAGUCCAACUUUCCAACUAUUAGUCAAGAGGGUCUAGCCUAGAUGACUGUUACUGGAAGAUUAAAUAGGGUUAGGGCUCCUAUUGUUGAGUCUUCGUGUUUGGAAAGGAGGCUCAUUGAAGCAAUUCUCAGUGUUGUGUUGUUGGCUAAAGAAAGAGGAAAGUUUAGAGCAUAUGAGUCCCUAUUGGAGGAAGCUUCUAGGUACUCCCAUUUUGAGACUUGCUCUUUUCUUAGCCUUGAGGGUCAAGGUUCUUCUUCUUCUUUCUGUGGAGGGAAAAAAGAGGUGGUGGUUACUAACCAAGACCUUGUGGCAUUCAAGGGCCAUCCUAUGUGAACGGAAAGGGGUUGGUUGACCCAUUGAGAGUAAUCCGGGUAGAUGGGAGGGAGAGGGGAGUUUCGAUCGAUUUGGAAGAGGGAACCAAAAAAUAUGAUGGGAGAGCGUUGCUAGCAAAAGAUGUGGAAAGAGUUUUGGAGGAGGAAAAAAUGAGUGUUUUGGGUUUGUGGAUAAAUGGUAGUUUCGUGAAACUUUGUCAUUGUCUGGGUAUGCCUACUGAGGGGUUUGAGGGGGAAUUUCGUUGCUUUUGAGAAAAAUGGAAGAGAGGAAAAAUCUUAAGGGUGUUUCGACCGAAAAAAGAAGGAAAAUACAAAAGGUUUCUAGAUCAGAGAAGGAAUUGAAAAAACUUAAGUGCUCAGUGAAUUACAGUGGUGCUAGGAGAAAUGCGGGGAUACUUCAGUUUGCUAACUAAAGUUGGUGUCUUUUUGGUGCUGAGAGGUAAGUGAGGUUUUUCUAGGUUUGUGUAAUGAAGUUAAGAAUAUUAUCGUGGAACGUAAGAGAGGCUAAUGAUUAUGAGAAAAGAAAGGUGAUCAAGGCAUUGAUUAAAGAUCAAAAUGUGGAUUUGGUGUGCUUGCAGGAGACUAAGAUGCAGGAGAUGUCAGAAAGGAUAGUGUGGACCCGCAUUUUUCACGUGCGUCCCCACUCGAUCGACGAGACUCGCUUUUUAUUUGUGAAAAAUUGAUUUUUGAAAAAAAAGUUGGAGUCGCCACUUAUUUUAUUUUUAUUUUUGAAGGGAAAAUAAAACAAGAAAUAAAACCCUAAAAAAAUUGACUCCAUAAUUUUUGGAAAAGCGUGUCUUUGAAAAACCCGAGUCUAAGUCCGGGGAUCAGGUUACUUAUUGGGAAGGUACCUCUAGGAGGUAGCACCCCUCUAAGCCCUAAAGAGGUCUCUACUGACUAAGUUAAGGGAAGCGUGGCAAUUAAAUGGUUGAUCUUGGAUACCUAAGUAGGCUAGGUGAUUCCAAAAAAAAACAUAACAUAUCAAACAAGAUCAAAUCACAAUUAAGGAGAGUUAAAAAUGCGUACCUGGACGGCUUCCCAAGCGCUAUCAUAAAACAUAAGAGAUUAGUUUGGAGAUACAUCACACAACAUUUGUUUUAUCAAAGAUAAUCAAACAAUCAUCAAAUGUAUAUCAAGGCAAUUAAAGAGGAUAGCAAGCAUGGACAUACAUAUUCAUAGGGUUUAGAAAGUGGGUAUUAUGGAACGUACCUGGAUAGCAUAUUUAACUCCUAAUGCGCUUCCACAAAACAUGAGAGGUUAGAUAACAAACAAUAAAAUAAGAAGUCCUAGCAUGCUCGUUAUCUAAUUAUCAUAGCAGAAAUUGUCAAAAUAUAUGAAAACAAUAAUUAUCACACUCAUCCUGUAUACCAUUUCUAAAAAAAAGAUAGACAUAAUUUCAACAAGUGACAAAAAUGGCAAUAAAAAUAAUUUUUGAAAAGAUUUUCUUAUGUAGGGGUUUCACCAAUUCCCCAAAUUAAUAUACACAAAUUUAGCCCAGAAUUAUCCCAUUAUUUGGGACCACAAGCUUUGAUUCGUGUUUUUGUUCAAAACCAAACUUUUUGUUAGAAACCGAGAAGGAUGCAAACCGAACAAAAUAUGGUUGCAUAUUAUUUUUUAAAAUAAAAAAAAAGAUUUUGAUCCUGAGGACUCUAAAUGAGUUUUUGAAAUAAAUUUUUAAAAUGAUUUUUUGAGAAAAGUAUUUUAUUUUAAAAUAAAAGGAAUUAAUUUGGAAAAAAUAAAAUAUAAGAAAUAAAAUACCAAACAAAACAAAAAUGAAACCUCAAAGUAAAAUUUUUUAGUAAUUAACAAAAAUGAUAAUGGUGAUGGUAGAGACCAAUCUUCAUGAUUUUCCAAUGGCCUCUAAAAAUCAAAUUUAAUAAAUAUUCAUCAAAGCAACAAACCAAACGACUUUAGAUCAAAUAAAACUAAUGAAAUAUUAAUCGGGAAUUUAUAAGGAUCAAUCAAACACAUAAAUUGAGAUAAACAAUCUAGAACUAAUUUAAAAUCAACCAAACACCUAAACAUGUAAUUAUAAUAAUGUGAAUAUAGUAACACAAGCACAUAGAAUUCUAAAACAUAUUAACUAAUCAAAAACUAGAAUCAUCAAUUUUAGAACGUGAGCAAAAUAACAUAAGAUUAGUUAAACUAAUUAACCUAUUAGAAAAAAAAAAAAAGCAUGAACUAAAUAUUGAUAAACCAAGAAUGAAGAUUAGUAUACUCAAAACAUGAAUAAUACGACUUAGGGUUAAUUAAAUUAGUUAUCUAAAACUUUGGAAAACAUACAAACUAAAAGUGGAUCAACCAAGAAUUAACCAAAUAUUUCUUAAACUAAUCAACUUAAAUCCUAAAAAGGAUGAAUCAGAAAAAUGAUUUACAAUUUUUUUUUUUAAAAAACAUAAAUUUAAUUAGAUGGGAUCAAAUAGACUAAUGAGCUAAAAUUCUAAAAUAUCUAAACUAAAUAAGAUGAACCAAAACAAGAUCAAAAUAAACUUAAAAACAUAAACUUUAUUACAUAGGAUCAAUUAGAAUGAUAGACUAAAAAUUAUAAAACACUUGAACUAAAUAAAAAGCUGACUCAUAAAAAAACUGACUUUUAAAAUUAAAUCUAUUAAAACCGAUCUAAGCAAAAUUCUAACUUUUCGAACUAAGCAAGGAAUCAAAUCCAAACUACACAAAGAUUCUAAUUUUUCAAUGUAAUAUAAUGAAUCAAAAUUAAAAUAAAACAAAAAAUUCUCACCUUUUAAACCAAAGUAAUGAAUCAAAACUAAGCAAAAAAAAAUUUACUUUUCAAUCUAAUAUAAAAAAAAUCAAAACUAGAUUAAACAAAAUUCAAACAUUUCAAAAAUAACGCAAGGAAUAAAAAAUAAAUUAAAUAAAAUUUUAACCUUUCAAUCUAGUUCAAUGAAUAAAAAAUUGAAUCAAACAAAAAUUCUAAUUUUUCGAGACAAACAUAAUGAAUUAAACUUAAACUAAACAAAACCUAACUUUUGAAACCAUGACAAUAAAUCAAAAUCAAACUAACUACAUCCUAACUUUUUCAUCCGAUUAAAAAAAAAAAUCAAAAUUAAUACAUAAAAACUCUAACUUUCAAUCCAAUAAAAAAAUUAAAACUAAAAUCCUUAGAAAUUCUAACUUACCUUCUCUAGAGUUCCUCUAUGGUGGUGCGGCUGCUAGUGCUCAAUGGUGAAUGUGUGGUGGCUGCCUCCUUCCUCUUCCUUCUCACCGGCCUCUCUUUGUUCCCUAAAAAUAAUAUCUCUCCGUGUCAAUCUCUAAAAAAAUAAAUCCUUCCGUUGCUUCCAAAAAAUAAUAUCUCUCCGUGUGGAUCUCCAAAAAAAAAUCCUUCCUCCUAUAUGGCAGCCUCCUCCUUUAUACAUAUAUGAGUUGCCUUCUUUUUAUUUGGAAAGUUCGUCUUCUCCCAAUUGUGCAUGGCUUUUCCUAGUAUGGAAAAUGUGAUUGCCAAUAUACCGAAUGCAUGAUUCUGUCCUCCAAAAAAAUAUCUCAUGCAACCACAAUAUUUUCUUAUUAAAAAUUCAGCUUCCCAUAAAUUCUCUAGUGUCAUUGAACUCCAAUUUCGAAUUGCAUAAAGAUACCUCUUAGACUUUCUAUCACACCCCAUUUCAUCAACCCUCCUCACAGAAUCUUUAAUACUCUCCGGCUUAUGCAGCAAAAAUCUCGGGAAGCUAAAUACAACUUUCUUUAUCUGUGUCGUGCUGAUUCCACAACUCUUCAUGAAUUCAAUAUUAGGUUUCAAGGUCUUCCCUAAAUCAUGUUUCAGAAACCGCGCACAAAUCUUCAAAACCUUAGAGACAUCCGAGUUCGAACCCAUAACACUCUGCAAUGCUACAAUUGAUGGCAGCAAGCCAUUAUUAGCACUCCUAUUUAAGAUCCACGGGUCUUGCGAUAUAAUAUAAGCAAUGUCGGUGGGCGUACAGCCCAAAUCCUGGAAAAUCUUGAUUUUGGGCUUGAUGGUCUUGUCAAGGUUGGCAGAGAGAACACGGGGGACUCGUUUGACUGUUUUCUCGAGAUGGGUCUGGGAAAAGCCGCUUUCCUUGAGGAAUGCUAGUAUGGAAUCAGACUUCUCGGGCUUUUUCAAAUGUUAUCACAGAAGCGGCCGUUAGAGCGGUUUCUUGGGAGAACUGGUGCCGCUUGAUCAAGUAAUCGGCAGUAGAGACGGGGAUAGCUGGUUUUUUUUUUUUUUUUUUUUUUGGGGUCCGGAGGAGGAGAAGAAGAGGAGAGAGAGGGAGCAGGAGAAGUGAGGUUUGUUGGUGGAGGCAGCGCAGAAGCAGUGGUCGCCGGAAGAGGAGCGAGCUUGGGUAGUUAUUGUUCAGCGUGGAGUUCCGGUUCGACGAUUUCUUCUUGGCAACGUUGAGGAGAUACCUGUCCACGCUGGGUUUUAGUCAAGAAGGUGAGCCUUUUCAUGUUGGUCGCGGUGGAGGCGAUGAUGGUGGCGAACUCUGUCGGCAGUUGUGAACUUCCCCUUUUUCAAUGCAAAAUUCCAGAAGCACUAGCAGUCCUGUUGCGGCUUCUUUUUUAUAUCGGCAUCAGAAGUCACUAAAACUCCAGUUGUCAUUCACCCUCAGGCGUGGUAUGCAUGCCCCCAUGUCCACAUGUUCUUCACGCCAGAUCAUCCUCUCCAGAGACUUCCAGAGAAACUCCAAAAAUGCCUGACCUCCUAUGCCUUGCUCACGUGACAGCUGCAUCAACUUCAUCCUUCUUUAAAAUUCCUCUUCCCAUGCAAAAUAUAAUAGAAUAAUAGUAUAAAAAAAAAUUAAAAGGAAACUAAAGAAACUAAUGAAAUUAGUAAUAAAAUAGAAUAUGAUUUCAAAAAAAAAGGCAAAGGAAUAAUGAGAGCUUAGAUAAUAUCAUUUCCUCCUUCAAUAAUAGGGUCACAUGCGUAUUUAAAGUAUAAACAAUUCAAGCAAUUUUUUUUAUUAAGUAAAUAAAUAAAAAUAAAUAAAUAAAUAAAGACAAUUAAAUACAUGAAUAAAUAAAUAAUAAAAAGUAAAAGUAAAAAAUGAAUAGACAAAAUAAAUGUAAUUAUCAAAUACAUGCCAUAAUAAUAAUAAUAUUGUAUAUAUAAGAAAUAAUAACAAUAAAAUGUUGAGCCUCAAUGAAAUGUCUAAAUGGACCUAUUCUGAAAAAGGUGUCUAAGUGACCCAAGUGACGUGUGUAAAUAAGGAGGUGUCUCGGUGCGAGUCAAGGUGAAUCUAGGUGGGCCUAGGGUGCCUAAAUGGACCUAGGGUGCCUAAAUGGGCUUAAGUGCCUAAGUGGGCCCAGGGUGCCUAAGUGGACUUAAGAUGGUGCUUAAUGGGCCAAGUGCAUCUCAAAACUAUCCUAGAAAUGAAUGAAAAGUCUAAUUCUAAAUUAGGGCUGCCAAAGGUCACAAUAAGGGGUCAGAUAAUCCCUCAACCAAAGUCUCUGAGGUGGCUCAAGAAAGAUAAGUAGUAUGAGUAGCUAUGGGCCACCAAGGAACUACUAUAAAGUAUCGAAUAAGUAUCUAAUAGGACAUGUGCUAGGAGGACAAAAUUGAGGGUCUACAGAUAGUCAGGAGCCUUGGUGUGGGAAGAUGUUUAGAUUGGGAGGCCGUCAACUCGAGAGGGGCCUCUGGUGGAGUGUUGGUGUUUUGAGAUAAUAGGGUGUUACAGUUAUUGGAGGCAGAAGUAGGGAUUUUCUCAGUGUUUUAGUGGUUCAAAAUAUGUGAGGAUGACUUUUGUUGGAACUUCACUAGGGUCUAUGGUCCUACGUUGAAAAAAUAGAGGGAAGAUUUUUUGGAUGAAUUAAAUGCUAUGAGAGGGUUAUGGGGUGGCCCUUGGUGCAUGGCAGGUGAUUUUAAUGUGGUUAGGUUCCCUGUGGAAAGCAGUAUGAGAGGCAGACUAACCUACUCAAUGAAGAGAUUCUUGGAGAUUAUUGAGGAUUUAGAGUUAAGGGACCUACCUUUGCAGGGAGGCUCUUUCACUUGGAAUGGUGGGUUGAAUAAUCAAUCUCAUUCUAUGCUUGAUCGGUUUUUGGUCUCAAAUGAGUGGGAAUGUCACUUUUCAGGGGUUGUGCAGUGUGUUCUUCCUAAACCGGUUUCAGAUUAUUUUCCAAUUCUUCUAGAUGGGGGAUGAGUGAGAAGAGACCCGAUGCCUUUUAGAUUUGAAAAUAUGUGGUUGAAGAAGAAAGGUUUCAAGGAAAAAGUGUAGGCUUUGUGGGAAGGUCUCAGUUUUAGUGGGUCUGCUAGCUUUGUGUUGGUAGCUAAGUUGAAAGCUUUGAAGCCAUUAUUGAGAGACUGGAAUAGGUUGGAUUUCGGUAAAAUGGAAGUCAAUAAGACUUUGGCUUUGAAUCAGGUGGAUUUCUGUGACAAGGUAAAGUUAACCUUGCCUCUUACUGUUCAUGAAUUGGAAGCAAGGAGAGAAGCAAAUGAGGACUUUAAAAAGUGGGUUUUUCUGGAAGAAAUUUUGUGGAGACAGAAAUCAAGGAAAGUUUGGCUGAGUGAGGGGGAUAGGAACACUAGUUUCUUCUAGAGGAGAAUGGGGUUAGAAAUGGUGUGGUGAAUGAGUUUAAGUUGUUGAUGUCUGUUGCAAGAUGAUGGAGACCCAAUAUAAGUGGGAUGUCCUUUGAGAAGUUGGAGUCUAUGGAUGCAACUAGACUGGAUGAGCCGUUUUCAGAGCAGGAGGUGCUAGAAGCUCUUAAGGGCUUUUGUGGGGACAAAGCGCUUGAGCCUGAUGGUUUUCCUAUGGCUUUUUGGCAAUUUUCUUAGGAUUUUGUGAAGAAGAAGAUCAUGGAUUUUUUGUAGGGAGUUUCAUAACCAUGGUCGGUUUGUUAAAAGUCUAAAUGCAACGUCCUUUGUUUUGAUCCUAAAAAAAAAAAAAAAAAAACAGAAGACUUAAGGGACUUCAGGCCUAUUAGUUUGGUGGGAGGGUUGUAUAAGUGACUGGUUAAAGCUAGUGGUGGGUAAGGUGGUCUCUAAGGCUCAAAAUGCUUUUGUGGAAGGAAGACAAAUUUUGAAUGUUGUCUUUGUUGUUAAUGAAGUUAUAGACUCGAUAUUGAAGAGCAAUGAAGGGGCGGUGAUGUGUAAGUUGGAUAUAGAAAAUGCGUAUGAUCAUGUGGACUGGUCCAUCUUGUUUUCAGUCAUGAGUAUGAUGGGUUUUGGGGAGAAAUGGAUCCGGUGGAUGCAGUGGUGUAUUUCCACAGCCAACUUUUAUGUUCUGGUUAAUGGGUCUUCUUCAGGUUUCUUCCAAAGUUCUAGGAGUUUAAGGUAGAGGGAUCGCCUCUCUUCGUACCUAUUUGUGAUGAUUAUGGAGGUUCUUAGUUGUCUCUUAAGGUGUGCAGUAAAUGAGGGUUUUUUGUUAGCCUUUAAGGUGAGGAGUAGAGGAAGUGAGGGGGUUCAGGUGUCUCAUUUACUUUUCGCUGAUGAUACUUUGGUUUUCUGUGGAGCUUCUAAGGAUCAAUUGUUGUAUUUAAGUUGGAUUUUAAUGUGGUUUGAGGCCAUGUCGAGGUUGAGAAUUAAUCUGGAUAAAAGUGAGUUAAUAUCAAUGGGUGGUGUGGAAAACACGGAGGCUUUGGCCACAAAUCUUGGGUGUAAGGUUGGAAGUCUUCCGUCCACUUAUUUGGGAUUGCCAUUAGGUACGCCUCAUAGAUCUGUGGCUGUUUAGGAUGGAGUGGAGGAUGCAGAAGAAAUUGGCUAGAUGGAAGAGCUAAUACAUUUCCAAAGGAGGAAGGAUGACCUUGAUUCGGAGCACUUUGGCGAGUAUGCCCAUUUACUUCAUGUUUGUGCUUUUUAUGCUUAGAAAGGUCAGAUUGAGGAUACAGCAGAUUCAGAGGGAUUUUUUGUGGGGAGGUGAGACCCUUGAGUAGAAACCUCAACUUGUUCGGUGGGGUUUGGUUUGCCUAGAUAAGAGCAAAGAGGGGUUGGAGGUAAAAUACCUUUCUACCCUCAAUAAGGCACUUUUGUGUAAAUGGAGCUGGAGAUUUGAAAAAGAGAGAGAGGCCUUUUGGAAUCAAGUGAUCAGGGGAAAGUAUGGGGAGGAGCAAGGGAGUUGGUGUUCUAAGUGAAGAGUGGAUAUGGUGUGGGGUUAUGGAAAACAUUUAGGAAAGAGUGGAGUGUUGUAAGUAGUAGACUCUAUUUUGUAGUGGGAAAUGGGUAAAAGGUGAAAUUCUGGAAAGAUAGAUGGUGUGAGGAUGAACCUCUUUGUGUUUCUUUUCCCUCUUUAUUUGAUUUAAUUGUCUUCAAGGAUGCUUGGGUAAAAGAUGUGUGGUGUUCCAAUGAGGGUGGGGGGAGUUGGAGCCCACACUUCUCCAAACCGUUUAAAGAUUAGGAGAUGGAUGAGGUGUGCAGAUUCUUUUUGGGCCUUAAUGGGAAGAGAGUUCGACAGGCAGUGGAAGAUAGGGUGAUUUGGAGAGAGACUAAAUGUGGGAAUUUUUCUGUUAAGUCUCUCUACAAAUCAUUAGUUUCAGGCCUUCCAGCCUUUUUCCCUUCGUUGGCCAUUUGGAAAGUUUAUGUGCAAUCUAGAGUGAGUUUUUUUUUGGGUAGGAAGCAAUGUGGGGAAAGGCUCUUACCUUGGAUCAACUUCAAAAGAGAGGAUGACCUUUAGCUAACAGAUGUUAUCUUUGUCAAAGGCACGAAGAAUCAAUAGAUCACAUUUUUCUCCACUGUGCCAAGGCAAAGACUCUUUGGGCGUUGCUUUGCUCUCUUUUUAGGGUGCAGUGGGCGCUGUCGGCAAGAAACAAAGUUGUCUUUGAGGAAGAAGAGUUGUCAAUCCAAAGACUUAAGAAUUCUUUUAUAUAUUUCCUUUGGUUAGAGACGAAACUAUUUAUAAAAGAUGGUCCUUGGACUUUAGUUGAUUUUAUUGAUUGGGUGGGAACCUAUUGAGGGUGGGGUUCGGGCUGCACCUCCGUCCUUAGCAUCCAACUAAGGAGUGGGUUCUUCUUUGUAAUCUUUAAGUCGUUGCUUUGACAAUUUUUUAAUACAAUUUUAUCAUUUACUUAUAAAUAAAAAAAAAAUUAAUCUCAAUAGCUCUCUUUGCAUAACUUCUUGUAGACUUGUGGAUUCCAUAGUUGUUUGUGGUUGUUGCCUUUUUUUCUCAAGUACUAAAUUUGUACACCACCACACCCCCCCCACAAAAAAAAAAAAAAAAAAAAAAAAUAGUGCACUAAGGGGCUUGAAUUUGAAAGAGAGGACACUCAAGGUCCAAUUUUAAUAAAUCUUACUUUAUAUAUUUUGUAUAAUAAUUACAUACAAAAUAAAUAUACUUAUAAAUAUAAUUAUAAAUAGUUUUAAAAAUAAUUAUACAUAUCAUCAUUAUCAUUUUUUUUUAUAUCCUUAAACUUAUCCAAACUAAGAAUUAAAUGUGUGUUUUCAAAUUCCUUAAAUUAUUAUCAAAUGUCACAUAUUUUAUAAGUUAAUAUACAUUAUUUUCUUCACUAAGCUAGCUUCAAUAUGUGCAUUAGUAGUUGUUUUAUCAUUUUCUGUAAGUUUCAAUAUUUUUUAGUUUGAUCAAUUUUCGUUUUACUGAUCUUUUUUUAUUUGAAUUUGGGUCCCUUGUUUCCAAUAUUUCUCUUUGUUUCCCUAAAUCCAAGUAUUCAUAUUUUCAUAAAUUCUCAUAUUCAAAAUGGGAUAAAUUAAUGGGAUGAAUUAGAUAAUAACAGCAUUAGUCAAGUCAUCCCUGGAAGUUUUAUUGAAAGAGAAUUUUGAAACAUAAAGUCGUGAAGUAGAAACCACGCUUGGCACUCUAAUGAAACAUAAAAUUAUUCAGUAGCAACUACAUUUUAAUAGUAGAAUCAAACAUACAAAAGUUCAUUUAUUCGGACACUGGACUUAGCUUAUCAACCCCUUAACCGAAGAAAAGGGACAUGCUCUCCAAUGAAAUAAAAGAGCAGUUCUCGGUAAUAGGAGUUCAAGUAGAGAAAAGCAACGAUGCAUAAGAAUGCCACUCCGUAUGAUCCUCCAAAACUCCAUAAGAAUAUGGCUUCCCAAGAGCUAUUUUCUCUGUUGUCUGAAACUGGUGGUUUGACUGCAGGUGGGGCACUAGUGGGAGUGCAACUUUGAUCUAAUGGCAGCCCACAUAGAAGAGGGUUGCCCUCGUAACUGCUUUGUUCAAAUGUUGCAAACUGAAACUUCCUCUCUGGAGUCUUACCUGAUAAAUUGUUGUGAGCGACAGUGAAAAUCGUCAAGAAGUUUAACUCUAUUACCAUCUGUGGUGGAAUUUGACCUGUCAAUCUAUUGUGGGAUAGGUCCAAGCUUUCUAUUUCCUUUAGGUUGGAAAAUGUAUGUGGAAUAGAUCCUGUCAACUGGUUGUACGAUAAGUUUAGAGUAUGAAUCCCACUUAGAUUUCCAAUUUCUGGAGGAAUUGGACCUGCCAAUUUGUUCCCUGAAAGAUCCAAUCCAGACAUGAAGUACAAGAUGUUUCCCAUAUAAGAUUCGGACCUACUCUUUGUUAUGAACUCUAUUUCUUCACUUUCAGCGGAUGUCUCAAAACUGAAAUCCAUAUCCACGUACACAGAAAGUUGAUUUUCAUAUGAAUAUGUUUCUGGGGAAGCACCCCACCACGACUCAAAGCCUUCUAUAAAAAAUGUGUCAUCCAUUAAUGCAACUUCUCUUCCAAAAGUUAUAUUAUCUAGGCAAGGAGGUAUGGAUCCGGAAAGAUGAUUAUGAGAAAGAUCCAGUAUGCUGAUUGAUUUGAGCUGACACAAAUGAAGAGGAAUUGAGUCUUCAAGUUGAUUUCCUUUCAAGAGAAGAACCCUCAAUUUUGAAAGUAAACUAAUCCAAGGGGGAAUUGGGCUUGAUAGUUUGUUAUCCCUCAAAUUCAAUGUCACAAGAGAGGUAGCUUCAGCCAGAACAUGGGGUAUAGGUCCUAUUAGUUCAUUGCUUUCCAAAUGUAAAAACUUCAUGUUUGUUAGAUUGGCACAAAGAGGAAGGGUUGGGCCAAUUUUGUUGUGAGAAAGGUCUAAAAAGCGUAGUUCAUUGAGUUUGCAAAAGCCUGUUGGCACAACACCAUCCAAAUAAUUUCUAGACAAGAUAAGUGUCCUCAAGGCUGAGAAGUCUCCAAUCGAAUCUGGAAUUUGACCCAUCAACGAGUUGGAGCUGACAUCCAACAAUAGUAGGGAAGAGCUAUUCAAAAAUCCACGAGAAAUCUCUCCCCAGAAGUCAUUGUUAUCCAAAGACAAAGAGGAUAACAGUGUCAAGUUCGAUUUUAUGGGAAGAGUGUCAUGUAAACUAUUGUUGGAUAGCUUUAAAACCUCCAAUGAGAUGCAACCCAUCAUCAUGUGCUCAGGUAGUUGUCCCGAGAGAUUAUUGUUUGACAAAUCUAAAGAUCCCAACUGUUCCAUGUCACCCAUUGAGGAAGGAAUAUUACCUUGUAAUGCAUUUCCAGACAAGUUUAAGACCUCCAACCUUGGAAAAAUAGAGCCGAUGAAAGGUGGAAGCUCUCCAUGAAUGCAAUUCAAGGAGAAAUCAAGCACACACAUGUAGUAAUGUAUUGAAUUUGAGCCCAAAUCAAGAACACCUGUCAAGCUGUUACUUUCAAAGCUUAGGUAUUCUAGUUUAGUAUUAUUGGCUAAUAACCAGGUUGGGACUUUUCCUGUCAUAUUGUUGUAGCCAAAGUCGACCACUCUCAAAUCAUAUUGACUCAAAAGAAAGCUUGGUACAACCUGGCUUGGCCAAUUGAGGGUGCAAUUGGAUAACCGGAGGAUUUUCAAUUGAAAUAGAGGAAAUGACCAUGUUGGAUUUUCAGUCUCAACCUUCAAAUACUUGUUAUUGCUAGAAAGUUCGAAGACCUCGAGUCUGGAGUGGUUGAAAAGUGAACCAAAAUAGAUUGAGCCCUCGAAAUGAUUGUAAGAAAGAGAAAUGUACUCGAGUGACUUCAGAUUGGAGAAGAGAGAUGGAGGAAUAGUUCCACGAAAAUCAUUUCUGGAUAGGUCAAGCAAACGUAGGGAUGUCAAAUUGUUGAGGCACGCAGGAAGACUACCCUCAAAUCCAUUAUUACUAAGAUCCAGCUCUUCAAGGUUGAGUUUGCACAAGCCUGUAAAAGUGAAACAUGUAAUUUAUAAUUACAAUUAAAAGUAGUGGCAAUAACUACUAAGGGAAAAAUAUAUUCUGGAUUAUCUUGGCUGAUAAAUGUCACCACAAUUCCUAAGGUAACUUGUUGAUAAUUUUAAAUAUUUUUGUAAUUAUAUUUUUAUUUUUAUUAAUAAUAAAUAUGUUUACCCUCUCAAUCUUUUUAUUUCCUGUUUUAGAAAAUAAAAUUCCCUAGCAUUUUUAAGAAGCCAAACAUGUACCUGUUAAUAUCUAAAAUGGCAAAGAAAAUUUCAUCAUUCAAAUCUACAUUUAUAAUUACUGCACAUAUUAUUCCUCAUACUAUUUUCUCCUUUAAUUCUUAAAAUUUAUUUUAAAAUAAUGUUUGUCAAUUACAUCCACUAGUUGACACUAUUAUUUUGUUUAAAUUUUUUAAACUUGUGUGAUAGAGUUAAGUGGGAAAUUUUAGUGGUAAAAAACAAAUUAAAG
rnacentral:lncRNA from 1 species